rnacentral:rRNA from 1 species
UACGGAGGGUGCAAGCGUUAUCCGGAUUCACUGGGUUUAAAGGGUGCGUAGGCGGGUUGGUAAGUCCGUGGUGAAAUCCCCAAGCUUAACUUGGGAACUGCCGUGGAUACUAUCAAUCUUGAAUAUCGUGGAGGUAAGCGGAAUAUGUCAUGUAGCGGUGAAAUGCUUAGAUAUGACAUAGAACACCAAUUGCGUUAGGCAGCUUACUACACGAUCAUUGACGCUGAGGCACGAAAGCGUGGGAGCAAACAGG